GCGUAGGUAACCUGCCUUGUAGCGGGGGAUAACUAUUGGAAACGAUAGCUAAUACCGCAUAACAAUGGAUGACACAUGUCAUUUAUUUUGAAAGGGGCAAUUGCUCCACUACAAGAUGGACCUGCGUUGUAUUAGCUAGUAGGUGAGGUAACGGCUCACCUAGGCGACGAUACAUAGCCGACCUGAGAGGGUGAUCGGCCACACUGGGACUGAGACACGGCCCAGACUCCUACGGGAGGCAGCAUG
rnacentral:rRNA from 1 species